CCUACGGGAGGCAGCAGUGGGGAAUAUUGCACAAUGGGCGCAAGCCUGAUGCAGCGACGCCGCGUGAGGGAUGAAGGCCUUCGGGUUGCAAACCUCUUUCAGUAGGGAAGAAGCGAAAGUGACGGUACCUGCAGAAGAAGCGCCGGCUAACUACGUGCCAGCAGCCGCGGUAAUACGUAGGGCGCAAGCGUUAUCCGGAAUUAUUGGGCGUAAAGAGCUCGUAGGCGGUUUGUCGCGUCUGCCGUGAAAGUCCGGGGCUUAACUCCGGAUCUGCGGUGGGUACGGGCAGACUUGAGUGAUGUAGGGGAGACUGGAAUUCCUGGUGUAGCGGUGAAAUGCGCAGAUAUCAGGAGGAACACCGAUGGCGAAGGCAGGUCUCUGGGUAUUAACUGACGCUGAGGAGCGAAAGCAUGGGGAGCGAACAGGAUUAGAUACCCUGGUAGUCCAUGCCGUAAACGUUGGGCACUAGGUGUGGGGGACAUUCCACGUUUUCCGCGCCGUAGCUAACGCAUUAAGUGCCCCGCCUGGGGAGUACGGCCGCAAGGCUAAAACUCAAAGGAAUUGACGGGGGCCCGCACAAGCGGCGGAGCAGGCGGAUUAAUUCGAUGCAACGCGAAGAACCUUAC
rnacentral:rRNA from 1 species